GAUGAAGAACGUAGCAAAAUGCGAUACUUGGUGUGAAUUGCAGAAUCCCGUGAACCAUCGAGUUUUUGAACGCAAGUUGCGCCCGAAGCCAUCAGGUUGAGGGCACGUCUGCCUGGGCGUCACAUAUCGUUGCCCAAUGCCUAUUGCAGUGCAAUAGGAAUUUCUAGGGCGAAUGAUGGCUUCCCGUGAGCGUUGUUGCCUCGCGGUUGGUUGAAAAUCGAGUCCUUGGUAGGGUGUGCCAUGGUAGAUGGUGGUCGAGUUAGAACGAUACCGAUCAUGUGCAUGCUCCCCAAAAUAUGGCCUCUAUGACCCACACGCGUCUUUUGACGCUCAUGACGAGACCUCAGGUCAGGCGGGGCUACCCGCUGAAUUUAAGCAUAUCAAUAAGCGGAGGA
rnacentral:misc_RNA from 1 species